AGAGUUUGAUCCUGGCUCAGGAUGAACGCUGGCGGCGUGCCUAAUACAUGCAAGUCGAGCGAACGGACGAGAAGCUUGCUUCUCUGAUGUUAGCGGCGGACGGGUGAGUAACACGUGGAUAACCUACCUAUAAGACUGGGAUAACUUCGGGAAACCGGAGCUAAUACCGGAUAAUAUUUUGAACCGCAUGGUUCAAAAGUGAAAGACGGUCUUGCUGUCACUUAUAGAUGGAUCCGCGCUGCAUUAGCUAGUUGGUAAGGUAACGGCUUACCAAGGCAACGAUGCAUAGCCGACCUGAGAGGGUGAUCGGCCACACUGGAACUGAGACACGGUCCAGACUCCUACGGGAGGCAGCAGUAGGGAAUCUUCCGCAAUGGGCGAAAGCCUGACGGAGCAACGCCGCGUGAGUGAUGAAGGUCUUCGGAUCGUAAAACUCUGUUAUUAGGGAAGAACAUAUGUGUAAGUAACUGUGCACAUCUUGACGGUACCUAAUCAGAAAGCCACGGCUAACUACGUGCCAGCAGCCGCGGUAAUACGUAGGUGGCAAGCGUUAUCCGGAAUUAUUGGGCGUAAAGCGCGCGUAGGCGGUUUUUUAAGUCUGAUGUGAAAGCCCACGGCUCAACCGUGGAGGGUCAUUGGAAACUGGAAAACUUGAGUGCAGAAGAGGAAAGUGGAAUUCCAUGUGUAGCGGUGAAAUGCGCAGAGAUAUGGAGGAACACCAGUGGCGAAGGCGACUUUCUGGUCUGUAACUGACGCUGAUGUGCGAAAGCGUGGGGAUCAAACAGGAUUAGAUACCCUGGUAGUCCACGCCGUAAACGAUGAGUGCUAAGUGUUAGGGGGUUUCCGCCCCUUAGUGCUGCAGCUAACGCAUUAAGCACUCCGCCUGGGGAGUACGACCGCAAGGUUGAAACUCAAAGGAAUUGACGGGGACCCGCACAAGCGGUGGAGCAUGUGGUUUAAUUCGAAGCAACGCGAAGAACCUUACCAAAUCUUGACAUCCUUUGACAACUCUAGAGAUAGAGCCUUCCCCUUCGGGGGACAAAGUGACAGGUGGUGCAUGGUUGUCGUCAGCUCGUGUCGUGAGAUGUUGGGUUAAGUCCCGCAACGAGCGCAACCCUUAAGCUUAGUUGCCAUCAUUAAGUUGGGCACUCUAAGUUGACUGCCGGUGACAAACCGGAGGAAGGUGGGGAUGACGUCAAAUCAUCAUGCCCCUUAUGAUUUGGGCUACACACGUGCUACAAUGGACAAUACAAAGGGCAGCGAAACCGCGAGGUCAAGCAAAUCCCAUAAAGUUGUUCUCAGUUCGGAUUGUAGUCUGCAACUCGACUACAUGAAGCUGGAAUCGCUAGUAAUCGUAGAUCAGCAUGCUACGGUGAAUACGUUCCCGGGUCUUGUACACACCGCCCGUCACACCACGAGAGUUUGUAACACCCGAAGCCGGUGGAGUAACCUUUUAGGAGCUAGCCGUCGAAGGUGGGACAAAUGAUUGGGGUGAAGUCGUAACAAGGUAGCCGUAUCGGAAGG
rnacentral:rRNA from 2 species